ACCGGAAUCGCGUAAUGGUCUAAGCGCGUCGGUCUCCAAAACCGAAAGUCUGGGUUCAAAUCCUAGUUCCGGUG
rnacentral:tRNA from 1 species